UGUCGGGUCCUUGUCUUAGUUUGUCUGUGUCUAACGUUGUCGCACGUACGUCUCAGCUCUCAAGUGGAAUUGUAAUUCUGGUUAGCUUCGCUCUCUUGUCAGUCCUUGUUGUUAGUGCGACCGGUAUUUAGCUGGGUGCUAACUUCUCCGCCGUGCCGCCUGUUUUUGGACUGUUGAACAUCUUCAUCAUUAAACGCUUCAUCAUCAUUAUCUGGGUCUAUGCAUCACUCCUCACCAUCACCUACCACCACUUCAUGACAAAAGGAAGACGAGCAGAGUUACAAAGUGAUGAUUUUCAAGACGAAAUUGGAGCAUUACCCCUCCUAACUGACAUGCUGCAGGAGCUUUUCAGCAGCACCUGGAGGUGCCCUGUGCUGCUCCAUGCUGUCGUGGAGACUCCAGGAUUGGAAGAAAAGCCCGUCCCCCCGGCCUGAAAGAAUGUUCAACUAAAUGUCACAAUGAAGCUGAAAUAAAGAAAUGAAACAGAAAACAUUUGGUCU